rnacentral:rRNA from 1 species
UAGGGAAUCUUCCGCAAUGGGCGAAAGCCUGACGGAGCAACGCCGCGUGAGUGAUGAAGGUCUUCGGAUCGUAAAACUCUGUUAUUAGGGAAGAAUAAAUGUGUAAGUAACUAUGCACGUCUUGACGGUACCUAAUCAGAAAGCCACGGCUAACUACGUGCCAGCAGCCGCGGUAAUACGUAGGUGGCAAGCGUUAUCCGGAAUUAUUGGGCGUAAAGCGCGCGUAGGCGGUUUUUUAAGUCUGAUGUGAAAGCCCACGGCUCAACCGUGGAGGGUCAUUGGAAACUGGAAAACUUGAGUGCAGAAGAGGAGAGUGGAAUUCCAUGUGUAGCGGUGAAAUGCGUAGAUAUAUGGAGGAACACCAGUGGCGAAGGCGACUCUCUGGUCUGUAACUGACGCUGAGGUUCGAAAGCGUGGGUAGCAAACAGG